UAAAUGAACUUAAAUUCAGCUUAGAAAAAUUUUUUAACAAACAAAGUAAAAAAUAAUAUUUUAAAGUUAAUUAAUAGAGGUUCAGCUCUAUUAAUAAAGGAUACAACCUAAAAUAAUGAAUAAUGAUUAUACUAAUUAAAGAAAUUAAUUACGUGGGCCUAAAAGCAGUCAUCAAAAUAAAAGCGUUAAAGCUUAAUUUAAUAAAUCUUAUUAUAACAGUAAAAUAAUCUUAAUUCAUCAAAACUAUUAAGUCAAUCUAUUUAAAUAGAUAUGAUUAUACUAGAAUGAGUAAUAAGAAAAUAUUCUCUUAGUGCAAGUGUAAAUCAGAACGAAUAUUUCACUGAUAAUUAACGAACCUCUUGAGGGUAAAAUAAUAUUUCACAAGAAAAACCUAUUUAACCCAUCGUCAACCCAACACAGGAGCACACUAGAAAGAUUAAAAAUAUAGGAAGGAACUCGGCAAACAUGAACUUCGCCUGUUUACCAAAAACAUCGCCUCUUGCAAUUAAGGUAUAAGAGGUCCUGCCUGCCCAGUGACACUAAGUUUAACGGCCGCGGUAUUAUGACCGUGCAAAGGUAGCGUAAUCACUUGUCUUUUAAAUGAAGACCAGUAUGAAUGGCAAGACGAAAGUUCAACUGUCUCCCUAAAUUAAUCAGUGAAAUUGAUCUUUCCGUGCAGAAGCGGAAAUAUAACUAUAAGACGAGAAGACCCUAUGGAGCUUUAAACAUAUAAUCAAUUGUAAAACAUAAAAAUCCAAAAGAUAAAAUAUAAAAUAAGGACAAUAUGAUUAGAAUUUUAGGUUGGGGCGACCACGGAGAAAAACAAAACCUCCGAGAUGAAGAGAAUAUCUUAAUUUAAGAACUACAGUUCUAAAAAAUAAAAUAUUUAACAUAAUUGAUCCAAUAUAUUGAUCAACGAACCAAGUUACCCUAGGGAUAACAGCGCAAUCCUCUCCAAGAGUCCCUAUCGACGAGGGGGUUUACGACCUCGAUGUUGGAUCAGGACACCCCAAUGGUGCAGCCGCUAUUAAAGGUUCGUUUGUUCAACGAUUAAAGG
rnacentral:rRNA from 1 species